CAGUCGCCACGGUAACACCGAGGGUGCAAGCGUUAAUCGGAAUUACUGGGCGUAAAGCGCGCGUAGGUGGUUUGUUAAGUUGGAUGUGAAAUCCCCGGGCUCAACCUGGGAACUGCAUCCAAAACUGGCAAGCUAGAGUAUGGUAGAGGGUGGUGGAAUUUCCUGUGUAGCGGUGAAAUGCGUAGAUAUAGGAAGGAACACCAGUGGCGAAGGCGACCACCUGGACUGAUACUGACACUGAGGUGCGAAAGCGUGGGGAGCAAACAGGAUUAGAUACCCGUGUAGUCCCUGUCUCUUAUAC
rnacentral:rRNA from 1 species